rnacentral:rRNA from 1 species
GGCGCGAGCAGGUGCGAAAGCAGGUCAUAGUGAUCCGGUGGUUCUGAAUGGAAGGGCCAUCGCUCAACGGAUAAAAGGUACUCCGGGGAUAACAGGCUGAUACCGCCCAAGAGUUCAUAUCGACGGCGGUGUUUGGCACCUCGAUGUCGGCUCAUCACAUCCUGGGGCUGAAGUAGGUCCCAAGGGUAUGGCUGUUCGCCAUUUAAAGUGGUACGCGAGCUGGGUUUAGAACGUCGUGAGACAGUUCGGUCCCUAUCUGCCGUGGGCGCUGGAGAACUGAGGGGGGCUGCUCCUAGUACGAGAGGACCGGAGUGGACGCAUCACUGGUGUUCGGGUUGUCAUGCCAAUGGCACUGCCCGGUAGCUAAAUGCGGAAGAGAUAAGUGCUGAAAGCAUCUAAGCACGAAACUUGCCCCGAGAUGAGUUCUCCCUGAGACUUUAGGUCUCCUGAAGGAACGUUGAAGACGACGACGUUGAUAGGCCGGGUGUGUAAGCGCAGCGAUGCGUUGAGCUAACCGGUACUAAUGAACCGUGAGGCUUAACCUU